AUGGGCCGGCGCGGCGCAGCGAGCCUGUCCCGAGGCCCCAGCCUGCGGCGGCCGCUCCUCCCCGGCGUCCUCCCCUUGCUGCUGCGCCUGCUACUGCUGGCGGCCCCGCCGGGCGCGGGCGCAGGGGCCGGCCGGCCGCCGCACCUCGUUUUCGUGCUGGCGGACGACCUGGGCUGGAACGACGUGGGCUUCCACGGCUCGAACAUCCGCACGCCGCACCUGGACGCGCUGGUGGCCGGCGGGGUGCUCCUGGACAACUACUACACGCAGCCGCUGUGCACGCCUUCGCGGAGCCAGCUGCUCACCGGCCGCUACCAGAUCCACACAGGCUUACAACACCAAAUAAUCUGGCCCUGUCAGCCCAGCUGUGUCCCUCUGGAUGAAAAACUGCUGCCCCAGCUUCUAAAAGAAGCAGGCUACACUACCCAUAUGGUCGGAAAAUGGCACCUGGGAAUGUACCGGAAAGAAUGCCUUCCAACCCGCCGAGGAUUUGAUACUUACUUUGGAUAUCUCCUAGGUAGUGAAGAUUACUAUUCCCAUGAGCGCUGUACAUUAAUUGAUGCUCUAAAUGUCACACGAUGUGCUCUUGAUUUUCGAGAUGGUGAAGAAGUUGCAACAGGAUAUAAAAAUAUAUAUUCAACAAACAUAUUUACCGAAAGAGCUACAGCCCUCAUAACUAACCAUCCACCAGAGAAGCCUCUGUUUCUCUACCUUGCUCUUCAGUCUGUCCACGAGCCCCUUCAGGUCCCUGAGGAAUACCUGAAACCAUAUAACUUCAUCCAAGAUAAGAAUAGGCAUUAUUAUGCAGGAAUGGUGUCUCUUAUGGAUGAAGCAGUGGGAAAUGUCACGGCAGCCUUAAAAAGCCACGGACUCUGGAACAACACGGUGUUCAUCUUCUCCACAGAUAAUGGAGGACAGACUUUGGCAGGGGGCAAUAACUGGCCCCUUCGAGGAAGAAAAUGGAGCCUGUGGGAAGGAGGCAUUCGAGGGGUGGGCUUUGUGGCAAGCCCCUUGCUGAAACAGAAGGGUGUGAAGAACCGGGAGCUCAUCCACAUUUCUGACUGGCUGCCGACACUUGUGAAGCUGGCCAGGGGCAGCACAAAUGGCACCAAGCCUCUGGACGGCUUCGAUGUGUGGAAAACCAUCAGUGAAGGAAGCCUGUCCCCCAGAACAGAGCUGCUGCAUAAUAUCGACCCAAACUUUGUGGAUAUUUCACCAUUGAAUGCAAAGAACACUCACCACCCCCAGGAUCUCAUUCCAUCCUCACAAUUGUCCUGUGAGGUCCUGGGAAGAGCCUAGCUCCAGCAAAGGAUGAUUCUUCUCAUCCGGAACAUUUCGCCUUCAACACAUCUCUCCAUGCUGCAAUUAGACACAGGAAUUGGAAACUUCUCACUGGCUACCCAGGCUGUGGUUGCUGGUUUCCUCCACCGUCUCAAAACAAUGUUUCUGUGAUACCCUCAUCGGACCCACCGACCAAGACCCUCUGGCUCUUUGAUAUUGACCAGGACCCAGAAGAAAGACAUGACCUGUCAAGAGACCAUCCCCAUAUUGUCAGGCAGCUCCUUUCCCGUCUGCAGUUCUACCACAAACACUCGGUGCCCGUGCACUUCCCGGCGCAGGACCCGCGCUGUGACCCCAAGGGCACUGGGGCCUGGGGCCCAUGGAUGUAGGACUUCUGCAGCCCUGGGGAGCCAGACCACCUUUCUGGUACAAGUUGGACUGCAGGCCUUUACUCCUGUACCUCUUGUCUCAUUUGCUCUCCCAGCCUGGGUUCCCCUGGCCCUUCUCUUGUUCCUCAGCCACGCUGAGGUGUCUCGUUGCAACCCCCAGUGCAUUUAAGAAGCUGAUAAAACCUGGAACACUCCUGUUGUUGGCCAGGGUGUGUGUCUAGGGGAGAGGGUGGCUGAGUUCAAUCUCUUGUUCCUGAGCCAUGGGACAGCUAGGGACUUGACUUGGAAUAGGAGGUUCUCACUGAGUCCUGGAGGCUGUACAGCUGGCUCUUUUUGCCUCGCAAGUCAGAUGUUAGAUCUCCCUCUGCCAAUAGCUGGGUUUUAUUGGAGUGCCUCAUGUUUCUUGUAACAAAUGUAGGGAGCAGACAGCUUUUAAUGGUUCUGUUGGCCAGGGGAUCUCCCUGUCUGUGAGCUAUCAUGUUCAGGCAUUCCAUGUGAAUAACCCCCCUUGGUUCACCCCUCACUUACUCACCCUGUCACUCAUCUCAUCAUGGAGCGUAAGGCCCAUUUCA